AACAACUUUCGCCUUCAACACUCUCUCUACCUAUUUUCCCUCUCCUUCUCUCUCUCUACAAAUCCCCCUCCAAAUCUCGAUCUCCUCCCUCUCCUCCGAUCUAUCCGCUGUCAAUAGCCCUCUCCCGCUGUCGCCAUCACCGGUGAGAGACCGAACUAGCAACGCCAGCUAUGGCGCCACCUCUGCUCUCCUAUUUCCGCCACUAUCAACCCCAGUGCCGAGCCAAGUCCUGUCAUGCCUUCAGCGCCCAACGAUGACAACCACACCAGCGAACAUUGCGACAGCCGCCUUCGCCCCCUCCUUCUCCGGCGAAGACCCUCCGUUCUCCCUUCCCUCCUCUCGCUGCUGCAGAGCCAUGCCAUUUGCGCCAUCACCUGCUUUGACCGAACCCCACGAGGGUGUCAAGGGUUCGAUUCCAAUGCUUUAUAUAUCAAUUGCAUAAUGAAUUUGUCUCCGAUGACAUCCGCUGAUGACGUUGAUUGACCUCGUCCUUAUAAUAAUUCAAAGUCAACUGCUAAAAAGAAAUCUUUGACAUCUUUAAACUCCAAUGAAAAAACUUUAGGAUUGUUUAAUAUUUUGGUGGUUGUUGGAUUAAUUAUUAAGUGUCUUGUAUUUUGGAUUUGAUUUUUUAAGGAGUGUUGAUUUGAAUUACUUAAAUGUUUUGAUAAUAUAGUAUCUUGUCUGGUUAUUUUAGAAAUGUAUGUUGCUUGAGGCUAUAUAUAUUGAAUUGCAUUUUUAUUUGGCAGGUGGGAUGCAAAAAUGCUGAUUUUUGCAUCCAAAAAAAUGCAGAAAAGCGACGGACAAUGGUCUCGCUUGCUUUGAAUUACUUAAAAAAGCGACUGCCAAAGUCGCUUUUUUUCUUUAUCAUGAACUAAUAAAUUUUUUUCCCUCAAAAUACGACGGACAAUGCCGUUUUUUCUGAUUUAUUUUUAAAAUUUUUCCUUCAAUAAAGCGACGCACAACGUUGUUUUUUCAAAAAAUAACUAAAAAAAAUUUUCCGCUAAAAGUGAUGCUGAUCAUUGUUUUCAAAAAACCAAUGCCCCUUUUUAAGACGUAAAAAAAGCAACGACUUUUCGUCACUUUUGCCUAAAAAACCGACGCUGGCCGUCGCUUUUUGACAGUUUUUUAGUAGUGUUUGAGGUUUUUGAAUUAUGAAAGUUUACAAAAGAAAAAUGUUUUUAAUGCUUUUGUUUUUUGACAAAUGGGUAUAAAAGGUAAACAAAAUCUUUGAAUUUUUGUUAUUUUGAAAAAAAUAAAAUGUAGAAGGUAAAAAAAGUCGUUUUUUUUUAAACUUUUGGGUUGCGAAGAAUAAAAGCCAUGAAGAACCCUAAAAUAAACUACGAAGAUCUUUUCUUUUU